rnacentral:rRNA from 1 species
AUUGAACGCUGGCGGAAUGCUUUACACAUGCAAGUCGAGCGGCAGCGCGGGGUGACCUGGCGGCGAGCGGCGAACGGGUGAGUAAUACAUCGGAACGUACCCAGUUGUGGGGGAUAGCCCGGCGAAAGCCGGAUUAAUACCGCAUACGACCUGAGGGUGAAAGGGGGGGAUCGCAAGACCUCUCGCAGUUGGAGCGGCCGAUGGCGGAUUAGCUAGUUGGUGAGGUAAAGGCUCACCAAGGCGACGAUCCGUAGCGGGUCUGAGAGGACGACCCGCCACACUGGAACUGGGACACGGUCCAGACUCCUACGGGAGGCAGCAGUGGGGAAUUUUGGACAAUGGGGGCAACCCUGAUCCAGCCAUUCCGCGUGAGUGAAGAAGGCCUUCGGGUCGUAAAGCUCUUUCGGCAGGAACGAAACGGUCUUUUCUAAUACAAGAGGCUAAUGACGGUACCUGAAGAAGAAGCACCGGCUAACUACGUGCCAGCCGCCGCCGUAAAAC